UUAUCUGGUAUAAAAAGUUUUG
rnacentral:miRNA from 1 species